rnacentral:lncRNA from 1 species
AAGAGGCAGCAGGCUUCGUGAGCUGGGGAAGUGCCAGAAGCAGCCUUCGAAUUAGACAGACCUGGACCCAAACCCUUUCUCUUCCCCCCACCCAUUUUGGCAUCUUGGCACGAGACUGUCCCCAUUUCUGGAAAGGGUGUUCACAAGAACAGUCUGGCUGGGUUGUUGGGAUGACCGAGUGUGAUCAUGCGUCUCUAUGGCUGGCCAUGGUGUUUAUUCGAUGGCAGGUAUUACCAGGAUGGAGCGAGUCCCAGUAGGAAGGGCCUUUAGGAUGUCAUCUGGUUCCACCCAACAGGGAUGGGAACUGUAAUUCCCCACUCUCCCUGUGGAGAAUCAGGGCGGGCUCCGGAUGGAUGGCCAAAGGCUGCACAGAGCCCUUGUUCUUUAGCCACAGGUUGAAGAUGACAGUAGAUCCUAAGGAACCUCAGUUCUAUCCCGAAAUGCGAAGGCCUUUUUACUCAACCACAAAGAAGUGGUCAGCAGAAAACUGGUCAUCCCGGCCUCUGGGGCCAUGCACAGCACUCAGGAGGAGCUACUAUUUUCCCUGCCUGUUUACAUGCGGCCUGGGGCCUUGUGGGCUAUUUGAAAAUUAGGACACGAGAAGUCCAAGCAGCACCUGACUGGGAGCUCCAUGAGGUCCGAGACAACCUGAAGACGCCCAGCUCAGCAGAGACUGGCUACGGCAAUCACUCAGUAACUAUUUGUUGAAUUGGACAUAAUAGAAGAGCUGAAGAAUUUUAAACAAGUCACCAUCAGUGCAGUGGAUUCCUCAAAGCAAACCUGGAAAUCUCGGCAUGAGUUGGAUUUAAGGCAGUACAUUUUCAGCUCCUGAAAAUUUGAACAGUUUCUCAAGAGAACAACUUGAAACAGAAAGGCAAGGAUGUAGAUGUGGUUGUAGAAGAUGAUGUCUGCGGCCACCAAACUGUCCACUGUGAAGACAAACCAUGCAUGUUUAGUAGGCAGUGGCUCCUCUUCCCUGUGGGGAGUCCCACUGCUUCCCUGGCCUGGGUGUUCUCUGCCGGUAGAUGUUAUUGACAAAAUAAGCAAAGUCCUCUGAUUCUGAGAAUUAGAGUUAAUGAUAGCUCUAGAUUGCCUCUGCCAUGCUAUUUAAAGUCCUGCUUUAUUGUCUGACAUGAGUUCGGCAUCUAUGAGGACUUGUCCAGUGCAAAGUACAAUCUCCACUGAAAGAUAUCACCAGCACAUCUUGUCACUGUGCUGUAGCAAGCUGGGCAGUACAAUGAUGUUGGCAGGAUCCUGUUUAGGUGGAGGAUGGCCACCUGGGCAUCAAGAAUCUUCUACCCUGAUUCCACAUUGACUCCCCAAAGUGGGCUUCAGACAGCUCUUUACUUACGUCUUCUGAUUAAAGCAGCAGACAGGGUCCCAGCUAGAGAAAAGUUCUGGGAGCAGGAGAGGUGUUGGUGGCUUUAAAACCAGGGGUGAAGAUUGAAUUAGGAGGUUAGGCAGGAGUAGGAUCAAAGACUUAGAAAAUGCUUGUUUCCUCCUAUUAUUCUUAUGAGAGCUGAUACGGGGCUUUCAGUUUUGGGGGAGAGCCUUGGAAGAGAAUGAGGGAAUUUAAUCAACUAGCGGGACCUUUCCAACUUACAUUUCCCAGUGUUUGUUGGAUGAUACGUUUGCCUAAUAAGUUAAAGCUUCCAAAAAUAGAAAGGAAAGCUUGGUGACACUAAGCUCUGGCAUGCUGUCAUCUUCUGGCUAGGGGUCUUGUGCUUCUGUUUUUCUAUUUCUGACCAAAGACAUAAAAUGUGUUGUGACCUCUCAGG